rnacentral:lncRNA from 1 species
GUCCAGCAGAAGGGUCUGUGUUUUGCCCGGGGUCCUGAGAGCGUGCUGGGGAUAGCAGGGGUGGAGUGCAGGUGUGCCCAUGGGCGCCCCGGGUCCAGGGCCGCGGAGCCGCUCUCGGGCGGGAGACCUUGCCCCAGGGGCACGUCAGCGGUCCUGAGGUGAGGCUCCUGCAGAGCACUCUGGGCCGCGUGUGUCUCUCCCUGCGUGGGCAGGCAGUGUCGGUGGCCGGAGCGAGGGUGUUUUCCCAUCGGGGUGAGAGGGAGAGCCCCAGGGUGGGCCUGGGGGCGGAAUCGGACUCGGGGUUGGGUGGACUCUUCUGAAGCUGGGAGGGGUGCGGGUGGGCAGGGCCUUAGGGAGCCUGAGGGAGGCGCGGUUCCUGGGGGAAGGGUGUGGCGAGGCGGCGGCAGCCCGCGUGCGCUGUGCGCCCCAGCGAAGGGGCAGUGCUGGCCACUCGUGUGGCCCUUUGGCUGGCACCCAGUGAGAGGGGGGCGGCCAGGGACAGGUGGCAGCCAGGCUGCCCACAGGCCCUGGGCGGUGGGGGGCCCGGCCCCUGUGCCUUGGGCAGCCUGGCCCCUUGCUGAGGCGUGCUUGCGCGUGUCCGUUGUCGCCCUCACCCAGCUGCUGCGGCGGAGAAACGGAGGCCAGCGCGGGGAGCGGAAGCCGGAGCCUGUCGGGAGCGACCCCGGAAAGGCCAGUCCCUCCUGCCGGAGGGAGGCGUGUUGGCGUGCGGCCGGUGGCGGGAUCGAUGGCCACCUGGUAGGCGAUGCUGCUGCGGCGGAGAGACGGAGGCCAGCGCGGGGAGCGGAAGCCGGAGCCUGUCGGGAGCGACCCCGGGAAGGCCAGUCCCUCCUGCCGGUGGGAGGCGUGUUGGCGUGCGGCCGGUGGCGGGAUCGAUGGCCACCUGGUAGGCGAUGGUAAGCGGCAGUGGCCUGCGCCAAGGUAGCCCCCGGGGGCGGUGUGUGGCGCCGGACCCGCACCCUCUGCUCCCGGGGGUGGAGCUGACCUGCUUGCCCGCGGUUGGGCUCGGGAGCCUGCGGGCCGCGGCCAGGAGGGAGCUGGCUGGCCGUCCCGGCGGUGGGGGCUGUGGCGGUGGCGUCCCGCGGGUGUGCCCGUGCUCGGAUCGAUGAUGACACCCACAAACGCAUUCCUUGGAAAAUCUGAACAAAAUGAGUGAGAACUCACUACCGUCUCCUCAUCGCAAACUGAGGUCCGGCACGUGGCUCCCACAGGGGCCGUCGGGGGAGGGUCCCGUUGCCUUGGCUCCCUUGGGUGCGUGCAGCCUGGGGCGCAGGUGGGGCAGGCAGGCCUCCGGUGGCCCGGGGGCCCCGGUGCCCGGCGGG